rnacentral:rRNA from 1 species
AGUGAACGCUGGCGGUAGGCCUAACACAUGCAAGUCGGACGGCAGCACAGUAAGAGCUUGCUCUUACGGGUGGCGAGUGGCGGACGGGUGAGGAAUACAUCGGAAUCUACUUUUUCGUGGGGGAUAACGUAGGGAAACUUACGCUAAUACCGCAUACGACCUACGGGUGAAAGCAGGGGAUCUUCGCACCUUGCGCGAUUGAAUGAGCCGAUGUCGGAUUAGCUAGUUGGCGGGGUAAAGGCCCACCAAGGCGACGAUCCGUAGCUGGUCUGAGAGGAUGAUCAGCCACACUGGAACUGAGACACGGUCCAGACUCCUACGGGAGGCAGCAGUGGGGAAUAUUGGACAAUGGGCGCAAGCCUGAUCCAGCCAUACCGCGUGGGUGAAGAAGGCCUUCGGGUUGUAAAGCCCUUUUGUUGGGAAAGAAAAGCAGCAGGUUAAUACCCCGCUGUUCUGACGGUACCCAAAGAAUAAGCACCGGCUAACUUCGUG